rnacentral:rRNA from 1 species
UGGGGAAUAUUGGACAAUGGGCGAAAGCCUGAUCCAGCCAUGCCGCGUGUGUGAAGAAGGUCUUCGGAUUGUAAAGCACUUUAAGUUGGGAGGAAGGGCAGUAAGCGAAUACCUUGCUGUUUUGACGUUACCGACAGAAUAAGCACCGGCUAACUCUGUGCCAGCAGCCGCGGUAAUACAGAGGGUGCAAGCGUUAAUCGGAAUUACUGGGCGUAAAGCGCGCGUAGGUGGUUCGUUAAGUUGAAUGUGAAAGCCCCGGGCUCAACCUGGGAACUGCAUCCAAAACUGGCGAGCUAGAGUAGGGCAGAGGGUGGUGAAUUUCCUGUGUAGCGGUGAAAUGCGUAGAUAUAGGAAGGAACACCAGUGGCGAAGGCGACCACCUGGGCUCAUACUGACACUGAGGUGCGAAAGCGGGGGGAGCAAACAGG